rnacentral:rRNA from 1 species
UACGAAGGGGGCAAGCGUUACUCGGAAUUACUGGGCGUAAAGCGUGCGUAGGUGGUUUGUUAAGUCUGUUGUGAAAGCCCCGGGCUCAACCUGGGAAUGGCAAUGGAUACUGGCAAGCUAGAGUGCGGUAGAGGGUAGUGGAAUUCCCGGUGUAGCGGUGAAAUGCGUAGAGAUCGGGAGGAACACCAGUGGCGAAGGCGGCUACCUGGACCAGAACUGACACUGAGGCACGAAAGCGUGGGGAGCAAACAGG